rnacentral:lncRNA from 1 species
GGCGGACGGGGGACGCGGGCGGGGGCCUCGCGCAGGACCCGCGGGCUGCAAGCGAAGCUGGACACCUUACUUCCUCCUUCCCCGCCCGCGGCCAGCCCGGCUUUGCGGAGGGAUAUCUCACCCCUCCUCUGUCCCUCUCCUCCCUUCGCCCGCCUCCCCCCUUUUUUGCUCUUGCUCCCCCCGCCCCACCUCACCCCGCCUUUCUCCUUUUGCAAGAAAAUAAUUUGACAGUCGAUUUGCUGACAGGGGAAGAAUUUGCAUCCUGGAUUAAAAAAAAAAAAGGCCGAGAGGAGCUUGGGAACGGUUGCUAGGGGUGGGUAAUGGUGAAGAAGGAGGGGGUACCGAGGAUCGGCUGAGGGAGGGGGCGAGGGUGGGGAGCCAUGCAAAAGGUAAGGCCAGGUUGCCGCGGCUCGGCCCCGUGUGGGCUGCGGCCGGGGGAGGGGCGAGAGAUGCAUAUGUAUUUCGGGCUCCCCAGCACACCCCCUUCCCUCCCAGCGAUGGCUGAGGCGGUGCAUGCAGACGGGGAGUAAGUUUCCUGAAGGGGCGGGCGGCUGCACGCGCGCAGCCCGGCGCUGCGAAUUUGCACCCGGGAGGGAGAGUGGUGGAUGCGGAGAGUUUAGAGUUGCUGGCGGAGGGCAGGAGGGGAGCCGGGCGGGGAACGGGGGCUGGCGGGCGCUAUAGCUGGGAGUAAGUUUCCAGGAUCGGGAGAGCCUGCACGCUAGCUCGCUACCCCACCGGCCCCCUGUCGCACCCCCCCAAGCGGAGACUGGGCUUCCUGUCUUUUUGCCAUGCACUUGUUGCAGAAGCAGCCAAGUCUUCCGAUACUCAGGCCCUAAAGAGCUCCAGACAGCCCCCCGCCGAAUGAUCAGCCCCGCAAAUGCUCUGAUAAAUUCAGGAGAGAAUCAUGCGGCCUACAGUCAUCCACUGAUGGAUUGUCCCGACCAGAAGUUACACAGGGAAGAGAUGAAACAAGCUCACCCUGCUUGGUUCUGGGCCAAGGCUUGGCUAUGCAGAACACAAGGCUGAGGAGGCCCUGAUCCCUCUUCGAGGCCUACUUGGGGAUAGCACGAUGUCCUGAGAGGUCACCCAGGCUGAACUCUGUAUCUGGCCCCUGACGGCCUCCCAGGUCCUGACCAGCUGGCCCCUGCUACACCCAGUGGCUGCAGAGCACUGUAGUGCUAAGUGUGUACUAAUGCACCAGGAGUCUGACCUAAUAAAGAAAAAAUAAGUAUGUAAAAGACAA